UACGUAGGGGGCUAGCGUUGUCCGGAUUUAUUGGGCGUAAAGAGCGUGUAGGCGGCCAGGUAGGUCUGGUGUGAAAACUCGAGGCUUAACCUCGAGAUGUCAUCGGAAACCAUCUGGCUAGAGUCCGGAAGAGGAGAGUGGAAUUCCUGGUGUAGCGGUGAAAUGCGCAGAUAUCAGGAAGAACACCCGUGGCGAAGGCGGUUCUCUGGGACGGUACUGACGCUGAGACGCGAAAGCCAGGGGAGCAAACGGG
rnacentral:rRNA from 1 species